rnacentral:rRNA from 1 species
UACGUAGGGGGCAAGCGUUAUCCGGAAUUACUGGGUGUAAAGGGAGCGUAGACGGUAAUGUAAGUCUGGAGUGAAAGGCGGGGGCCCAACCCCCGGACUGCUCUGGAAACUAUGUUACUAGAGUGCAGGAGAGGUAAGCGGAAUUCCUAGUGUAGCGGUGAAAUGCGUAGAUAUUAGGAGGAACACCAGUGGCGAAGGUGGCUUACUGGACUGUAACUGACGUUGAGGCUCGAAAGCGUGGGGAGCAAACAGG